rnacentral:rRNA from 1 species
GACGAACCGUGCAACCGUUAUUCGGAAUCACUGGGCUUAAAGCGUGCGUAGGCGGCUCAGAAAGUUGGGUGUGAAAUCCCUCGGCUCAACCGAGGAAUUGCGCUCAAAACUACUGAGCUCGAGGGAGUUAGAGGUGAGCGGAACUAAUGGUGGAGCGGUGAAAUGCGUUGAUAUCAUUAGGAACACCGGUGGCGAAAGCGGCUCACUGGGACUCUUCUGACGCUGAUGUACGAAAGCUAGGGUAGCGAACGGG